AUUUUGGAGGGUGGGGUCAAGAUGAUGGAGUAGGAAGACUGAGCUCAUCUCCCACCAUGAGCACACCAACAUUAACAAAUAUCUAUAGAGCAACUAUCAAUGAGAACAACCUGAAGAUGGGCAGAAAAGAUCUACACAACUAAAGAUAUAACAAGUCCACAACAAGAUGGUUAGGAGUGGUGGAGACAAGUGAGAGAAAAAUGCAAUUAAUGAAGCAUCAAUUUGUAUGUUGCUGUCAGGAGGAGGAGGAGAAGGAAAAGAGGAGGAGGAUGAAAAGAAAAAGGAAGGAAACAAUGUUUGUGCUCUUCAGUGAUGGACUCACGCAUCUAGAACAGUGCCAGGCACCAUCUGUUCCUUCCCACACAAAUCCACUGAACGAACAUCAGUGUGAUUUAUGCCCAGAAAGGCUGCCAGAGUAUAAACAUGUAAGACAGACCAACAGCAUAAAA